GACGAACGCUGGCGGCGUGCUUAACACAUGUAAGUCGAACGAUGAAGCCUAGCUUGCUAGGUGGAUUAGUGGCGAACGGGUGAGUAAUACGUGAGUAACCUACCUUUAACUCUGGGAUAAGCCCGGGAAACUGGGUCUAAUACCGGAUACGACCAAUCUCCGCAUGGGGUGUUGGUGGAAAGCGUUAUGUAGUGGUUAUAGAUGGGCUCACGGCCUAUCAGCUUGUUGGUGAGGUAACGGCUCACCAAGGCGACGACGGGUAGCCGGCCUGAGAGGGUGACCGGCCACACUGGGACUGAGACACGGCCCAGACUCCUACGGGAGGCAGCAGUGGGGAAUAUUGCACAAUGGGCGCAAGCCUGAUGCAGCGACGCCGCGUGAGGGAUGACGGCCUUCGGGUUGUAAACCUCUGUUAGCAGGGAAGAAGAGAGAUUGACGGUACCUGCAGAGAAAGCGCCGGCUAACUACGUG
rnacentral:rRNA from 1 species